AGCGUGGGGCUUCUCUUUCUUAGUCUUCACUCGCUCUUUUUCUGUUCCCCUCCACCCCCGCCUGCCCGGUUCUUUCUCUGGUCUACAGGGUCCUCACACUACUGUCUUACUGAGUCACUCCCCGGGGAGCAAAGACGCAGUGACGAAGAUAACUGUAGGAAUGGUCAGACAGAAAGGAAAGAAACCACCCAGAAUGAAAGGAGAUCUUGGACAUCUUCAAAGCGAAUUGCAUUCCCUCUUUGCCUUGGCGGCCAGAUGCUCAGGACCGAUGUACAAUCCACUACCAGUGACUAAACAACAGCACGUGACCCACUCUGCACUCUGCAGACCCACUGGGUGCCCCUGCUGGAGGCUGGCACCUUGAGCCCAGUGUCUGCCUACCUCCUGAAGAACUUUGGCCUCCAGAACCUUCUGCCUCCUGCUGGCAGACGCCACGGUAUUCCCAGCUGAUUUGCCGA